GACGAACGCUGGCGGCGCGCCUAAUACAUGCAAGUCGAGCGAGAACCAGGGCUUCGGCCCUGGGGACAGCGGCGAACGGGUGCGUAACACGUGAGCAACCUGCCCCGAAGACCGGGACGAGCCGGGGAAACCUGGUCUAAUACCGGAUGUUCACUUCGCAUCGCAUGGUGUGAUGAGGAAAUGGAUUCCGCGUCGGGAUGGGCUCGCGGUCUAUCAGCUGGUUGGUGGGGUAACGGCCUACCAAGGCGACGACGGAUAGCUGGUCUGGGAGGACGACCAGCCACACUGGGACUGAGACACGGCCCAGACUCCUACGGGAGGCAGCAGUAGGGAAUCUUGCGCAAUGGGGGAAACCCUGACGCAGCGACGCCGCGUGCGGGAUGAAGGCCUUCGGGUUGUAAACCGCUUUCAGCAGGGACGAAAUUGACGGUACCUGCAGAAGAAGGCCCGGCCAACUACGUGCCAGCCGCCGCAGUAA
rnacentral:rRNA from 1 species